rnacentral:tRNA from 1 species
GUAUAUAAAAUGAAUUUAUUUUGCAAAAAUAAAUAUGGUAAUUAAGUUACCUAUAUACUU